rnacentral:misc_RNA from 1 species
GAUGAGGAACGCAGCGAAAUGCGAUAAGUAAUGUGAAUUGCAGAAUUCAGUGAAUCAUCGAAUCUUUGAACGCACAUUGCGCCCGCCAGUAUUCUGGCGAGCAUGCCUGUUCGAGCGUCAUUUCAACCAUCAAGCCCCAGGCUUGUGUUGGAGCCCUGCGGCUGCCGCAGCCUCCCAAAACCAGUGGCGGGCUCGCUAUCACACCGAGUGCAGUAGUUUACUCUUCGCUCAGGGCGUGUGGCGGGUGCUAGCCGUGAAACCCCCAACUUCUCAAGGUUGACCUCGGAUCAGGUAGGAAUACCCGCUGAACUUAAGCAUAUCAAUAAGCGGAGGA